rnacentral:sRNA from 1 species
GCCGGGCGUGGUGGCGCGUGCCUGUAAUCCCAGCUACUCGGGAGGCUGAGACAGGAGAAUCGCUUGAACUCAGGAGGCGGAGGUGGCAGUGGGCCGAGAUCGCAGCCACUGCACUCCAGCCUGGGCGACAGAACGAGACUCCGUCUCAC